UGUAUGUUGACGUAUUCUGAAAGGGAUACUUCUUCGGACAAUAUACAAGGUGCUGCAUGGUUGUCGUCAGCUCGUGCCGUGAGGUGUCGGGUUAAGUCCCGCAACGAGCGCAACCCUUGUGUUUAGUUGCAAACAGGUCAAGCUGUGCACUCUAGACAGACUGCCGUGGACAACACGGAGGAAGGUGGGGAUGACGUCAAAUCAUCAUGCCCCUUAUGAUCUGGGCUACACACGUGCUACAAUGGCCGGUACAACGGGCAGCGAAGGAGCGAUCCGGAGCGAAUCCUAAAAAAGCCGGUCCCAGUUCGGAUUGCAGGCUGAAACUCGCCUACAUGAAGUUGGAGUUGCUAGUAAUCGCGAAUCAGAAUGUCGCGGUGAAUACGUUCCCGGGCCUU
rnacentral:rRNA from 1 species